AGAAGAGUAGAAGGAGGAGCAUCGCCGCCGCGCCACCACGCCUCGCCGUCGAGCUCAUCCCGCCGCCGCCCAGCUGCGCCCAGCCCACCGCUAGUCACUGCUGUUGUCGCCAACAAUGGAGGAGAGAGAAAGAGGCGAAUGCGAGGAGAGAGGGAAGGAGCUCGUGAAGGAGCUGUCGCCGUCGAAGCUGGGUUUGUCGUCGUCUUCGCGGGUUCUGGUCGUCAUCGUCGUCUCUGCCGUGAAGCCCGUCGCCGCCGUCCUUCUCGCCAUGAAGCCAGCGCCG
rnacentral:lncRNA from 1 species